rnacentral:rRNA from 1 species
GCCGAGACCGAUAGCGAACAAGUAGAGUGAUCGAAAGAUGAAAAGCACUUUGAAAAGAGAGUUAAACAGCACGUGAAAUUGUUGAAAGGGAAGCGCUUGCGACCAGACUCGGCCUCGGGGUUCAGCCAGCACUCGUGCUGGUGUACUUCCCCGGGGGCGGGCCAGCGUCGGUUUGGGCGGCCGGUCAAAGGCCCCAGGAAUGUAUCACCCUCCGGGGUUGUCUUAUAGCCUGGGGUGCAAUGCGGCCAGCCUGGACCGAGGAACGCGCUUCGGCACGGACGCUGGCAUAAUGGUUGCAAACGACCCGUCUUGAAACACGGACCAAGA